AAGGAGGACUAGUUAAAAGAGAUUUAGUUUAUAAGAGUUGAGAACUCUCGAAAUGGCUGUGUAUUCACUAAAACUUAAUGACCUUGACCUAUGUGUUUGGGUCUCAUGUAACAACACUGAUUUUCCUUGACAGAUAACAGGAGCAAGAAAGAAGGAUAUUAAAGAGUUACUCUGGUCUGAAUCCACAGUGAAAAUUCCAGCAGCUGAGGUUCUUCCCAUCCUCUACUUCAAUACUGCAAAAUCCAAAUGUCAUUAAUUGCCUGGAUGUUCUGGUAAAUUUUCUCUUCAACCUGAGGAUUAAUGAAAAAAGUGAAUAUAAUGUAGUUGCAGAAAUGUUACUUGAACAAUUUUU
rnacentral:lncRNA from 1 species